ACGGGGGGUGCAAGCGUUGUUCGGAAUCAUUGGGCGUAAAGAGCGUGUAGGCGGCUUGAUAAGUCAGAUGUGAAAGCCCUGGGCUUAACCCAGGAAGUGCAUUUGAUACUGUCUUGCUUGAGUAAGGGAGAGGAAAGCGGAAUUCCUGGUGUAGAGGUGAAAUUCGUAGAUAUCAGGAGGAACACCGGUGGCGAAGGCGGCUUUCUGGCCCUAUACUGACGCUGAGACGCGAGAGCGUGGGUAGCAAACAG
rnacentral:rRNA from 1 species